GUGGAAAGUUUCAAACACAGUUUUUAUAAAGGAGGUACAACUGAAAAGGGGUUUUAACACACCCACCUGUCUUGCAGGCUUAUUAGAUCCUGAUCACCUAAGAGUUUCUUGUCAGCACUCCUGUCAAAUGGAUGAAAUGCGCCUGGAAGGCUACCUCUGACAAAAAGGAAGGCACAGCAGAAAUGUUACUGUCACAUGUGCCUCACUCUUUAUGGUAAACGUUUUACUGAAGAAUAACAUACAGAAAAGUGGACAAGUCUUAACUGCACAGCUCAAUGAAUUUCCAUGAAGUAAAUAUACCCAUAUGAUAAUCCAGCUCAAGAAACAGAAAAUCACUACCACCCCAGAAGACUGCCUUAUACUACCAUCUUUUAAGAGUGAAUCACACAUGGGGUACUCCUUGUAUCUGGCCU
rnacentral:lncRNA from 1 species